GAUGAACGCUGGCGGCGUGCCUAAUACAUGCAAGUCGAGCGAACGGACGAGAAGCUUGCUUCUCUGAUGUUAGCGGCGUACGGGUGAGUAACACGUGUAUAACCUACCUAUAAGACUGGGAUAACUUCGGGAAACCUGAGCUAAUACCGGAUAAUAUUUUGAACCGCAUGGUUCAAAAGUGAAAGACGGUCUUUCUGUCACUUAUAGAUGGUUCCGCGCUGCAUUAUCUAGUUGGUAAGGUAACGGCUUACCAAGGCAACGAUGCAUAGCCGACCUGAGAGGGUGAUCGGACACACUGGAACUGAGACACGGUCCAGACUCCUACGGGAGGCAGCAGUAGGGAAUCUUCCGCAAUGGGCGAAAGCCUGACGGAGCAACGCCGCGUGAGUGAUGAAGGUCUUCGGAUCGUAAAACUCUGUUAUUAGGGAAGAACAUAUGUGUAAGUAACUGUGCACAUCUUGACGGUACCUAAUCAGAAAGCCACGGCUAACUACGUG
rnacentral:rRNA from 1 species